rnacentral:rRNA from 1 species
GACGAACGCNGGCGGCGUGCCUAAUACAUGCAAGUAGAACGCUGAAGGAGGAGCUUGCUUCUCUGGAUGAGUUGCGAACGGGUGAGUAACGCGUAGGUAACCUGCCUGGUAGCGGGGGAUAACUAUUGGAAACGAUAGCUAAUACCGCAUAAUAUUGACUAUUGCAUGAUAGUCAAUUAAAAGGUGCAAUUGCAUCACUACCAGAUGGACCUGCGUUGUAUUAGCUAGUUGGUGGGGUAACGGCUCACCAAGGCGACGAUACAUAGCCGACCUGAGAGGGUGAUCGGCCACACUGGGACUGAGACACGGCCCAGACUCCUACGGGAGGCAGCAGUAGGGAAUCUUCGGCAAUGGACGGAAGUCUGACCGAGCAACGCCGCGUGAGUGAAGAAGGUUUUCGGAUCGUAAAGCUCUGUUGUAAGAGAAGAACGAGUGUGAGAGUGGAAAGUUCACACUGNGACGG